rnacentral:rRNA from 1 species
UGGGGAAUCUUGGACAAUGGGGGCAACCCUGAUCCAGCGACGCCGCGUGGGUGAUGAAGGCCUUCGGGUUGUAAAGCCCUUUUGCCGGGGACGAUGAUGACGGUACCCGGCGAAUAAGCACCGGCUAACUCCGUGCCAGCAGCCGCGGUAAGACGGAGGGUGCUAGCGUUGUUCGGAAUUACUGGGCGUAAAGGGCGCGUAGGCGGCUCUUUCAGUCGGAUGUGAAAGCCCGGGGCUCAACCCCGGAACGGCAUCCGAGACGGGAGGGCUCGAGACCGGGAGAGGAGGGUGGAAUAGCCAGUGUAGAGGUGAAAUUCGUAGAUAUUGGCUGGAACACCGGUGGCGAAAGCGGCUCUCUGGCCCGGUUCUGACGCUGAGGCGCGAAAGCGUGGGGAGCAAACA